rnacentral:lncRNA from 1 species
ACAGAGGCUGUAGAAUGUGCACUGGGGCUUGGUGUCUCUUGCUGCCCUGGAGACCAGCUGCCCCACGAAGGAAACAGAGCCAACCUGCUGCUUCCUGGAGGAGGACAGUCCCUCAGUCCCUCUGUCUCUGCCAACCAGUUAACCUGCUUCCUGGAGGAAGACAUCACUCUGUCUCUGCCAACCCAGUUGACCGCAGACAUGCAGGUCUGCUCAG